UGCCCACCACACCCCACCUGUGGCCUUUGCCGACCAGGACUUUGAAGCUGGGCUGACUCCUGCACGGGGGAGCCCCUCAUCCUCAUCCGGCUGGGCCCCCCACCUCAGCCUCCCAGCCUCACACAGACACAUGUCAUCCAGCUGUGGGCACAAUCCCCCAAACGCCGAAGGGCCGCGGGCCCCCGGCCCCCUCCCUCUGUCUGUCUCUCCUGGCCUCUGACCCCACCCCGCACACCCUCAGGCCACGACCGGACCUCCCAGCUUCGUUAUUCUGCUCAACGCCCAGGCCCUCUGGGCACUCAGGAAUCAAGUGUGUCCAGAUGGCGCAGGCCAGUGAGCACCACGCCCAGGGGACACCCCAGAACAGAAGCUGAGACAGCACCACGGGAACCUUGGCUUCGGGGCGCCGCCUCCUCCUGGCAGUUGCUGCCGCCGGCUGGCGCUCUAUCGCCGCCGCCCAGGGCAUCCGGCCAGCCUCAGGCAGCGCGGCUCCCUCCUGCUGGCCCCGAGCCGCAGCCUCGGCCGGAGCCGGAGCCGGAGCCGCAGACGCAGCAGCACCGCAGCCUCCACAGACCUGGCGUCCUGGUGCCUUCUGGCCCCUCAGCACCAGUGAUUCACACCAGCCUGGAAAAGGAUGGGCUGGGCGCGAUGACUCACCCCCGGCAGGCGGAGGGUCCCACAGGGCCCCAGUCCUCAAACUCAGCUGAGGAGCCAGGAGGGUGACGACAGGUACGUGGCCGUCUCUCCACAGAGACCCUAACCCUCAGCUGGCCCCCCUGCUCCCCCAGGAUCCCAGCCCCCCGCCAAUGCACACAGCGCUCGGCCCGGGCAAGCCAAGAGGCGGCCCAUCACGGGGGCCACAGCCCAUCACGCCCGCCCCACAGCCUUCCCAUGCGGCCCCUCCCGCCUCUGGCAUGGCCCAUGGCCCUGACCCCCCUGACCUCCUCGCGUCUUUCCCUCAGGUCUCAGGCUCCCACAGAGCCUUUGCUGCUGUGCCUGGAGCUGCCCCCCUCCUCCUGCGAGCUGCCUGCGCCGAGGAGACGAGGGGAUGUUGAGGUCGGCGAGAGGGUGGGCCCGGCAGCGGGCUGCUGACGAAGACGGGCCAGCGUGAGGGCCGGGGCUGCCACGAGGCCUGCCCCGCUGGCCACCAGCCCGCCCGCCCGCCCCCAGGGCCACUGCAGCUGGCGUCGGGGUCUGCUCCUUGGGCCCCAUCUCGCUCCAG
rnacentral:lncRNA from 1 species